AAACGAAAAAUUAACCAAGACCCAGUAAGGCUUCUUAUGGAGACUAAUGCAGAGAUUUGUAGUGAUCCCUGAAGUAUCCAACCAUCAAACACCCCCAGCUCUGAGGCUGAGCCUGCCUAUCUUGGGGAAGCCAUCCUGGGAGUAUGGAGAGAGGCCCUAGCGUCGGUUGGCUCAGUUCACUGCAGGGUCCCCAGAACCCAAGGCAGCAGCAGGCUGUCCUCCAGGAGAUCCAGUGCACUGACAUGGGCGGCCCACCAGAGAGCAGUACACGACCACACGAGCAGCACAGAGCCUGCAAACUCCAAGGUGGGCAUUGGAGGGUGUCAGGUCAGACAUUUUGUGAGUGAAUCUUGUCUUGGGGAUUAGUUGGGGCAGUUUGAAAUCUAUGACUAUAGGCCAGGUGUUAGUGGUGCACGCCUUUAAUCCCAGCACUCAGGAGGCAGAGGCAGGUGGAUCUCUGUGAGUUCGAGGCCAGCCUGGUCUACAGAGAGAGUUCCCGGACAGGCUCCAAAGCUACACAGAGAAACCCUGUCUCAACAACAACAAACCCCUAUCCCCCCAAAAAGGAAAGAAAUCUAUGACUAUAGAAGAUUUAGUAAAGAUUUCUACAAAGAAAAAUAAGGGGGAGUUUCUUUGUAACAAUCAGAAGCUAAAAGAUUAAAGGGAAAAAAUGGCUGAGCCAAGAGUGGUGCAAGAAGUUGAGGAUUCCAAGUUCAAGGCCAGCCUGGACAACAUGGUGAUACACUGUCUCAGAAACGAGAGGAGGUGCUCAGCCCACCUUCCCAGUACCUGCGGUGCCUGCCCCUCAUCAGGAGGCCUCUCUACAGCAAAUGGAGGCCAUCACAGAAAACCAUAACUAGACACAAAAGCAGAGAUGAACAGAUCAUAGGAUACGUGGAUACGUCUCCUUCACCUUCACAACUCCUUCACCUGUGGCUCAGGAAACAUUGAAGAAGAGGGAGCAGAAAGAUUGUAGGAGUCAGAAUACCAAGACGUUCCCCGUGAAUCAUCUCUCCUAGAAAUGGCUUGUAAAGAGGAAGUGUCCAGUGGCAGUAUCAGUGGACAUGGUCACAGGGAAGAGAGAGAGAGUGGGCAUGCUCACAGGGAAGAGAGAACGUUUCUCUGAGCACUACCUCUAGACAAAGAACUACAGGCCAUUAAUGGCUGCUGGGAGGAAA
rnacentral:lncRNA from 1 species